rnacentral:rRNA from 1 species
GAUGAACGCUGGCGGCGUGCCUAAUACAUGCAAGUCGAGCGAACAGACGAGGAGCUUGCUCCUCUGACGUUAGCGGCGGACGGGUGAGUAACACGUGGAUAACCUACCUAUAAGACUGGGAUAACUUCGGGAAACCGGAGCUAAUACCGGAUAAUAUAUUGAACCGCAUGGUUCAAUAGUGAAAGACGGUUUUGCUGUCACUUAUAGAUGGAUCCGCGCCGCAUUAGCUAGUUGGUAAGGUAACGGCUUACCAAGGGAACGAUGCGUAGCCGACCUGUGAGGGUGAUCGGCCACACUGGAGCUGAGACACGGUCCAGACUCCUACGGGAGGCAGCAGUAGGGAAUCUUCCGCAAUGGGCGAAAGCCUGACGGAGCAACGCCGCGCGAGUGAUGAAGGUCUUCGGAUCGUAAAACUCUGUUAUUAGGGAAGAACAAAUGUGUAAGUAACUAUGCACGUCUUGACGGUACCUAAUCAGAAAGCCACGGCUAACUACGUG